AAAAUGGUUCUUCAAAGGUUCUGAAAUGAUGGUAAAGGUUCUAUAUAGAACCAUAGCUUACUGAAGAACCCUUUUUUGCUGAAAUGGUUCUUUGUCUUGGCAAAAGGGUUCUUUUUUCCCCUCCUGUUUUGAUUUUAAAUUUAGUCAGUUAUUUUCAAGCUGCCUCUUGAUUAUUUUCACCUGUAAAAGCCCUGAAUCAUCAGUCCUGCUGAACUGCCUGCAGACUAACAUCACAAACAGGUAAGAGAGGAAAAUAAUCAUCAUUUACUGUUAAAACAUUUUGAAAAUUGAAGUUUUGUGUGUUCUUAUUGUAAUUUAUUUAUUUUAUAACAGGUAAGCUUUAUACUGAAAGCUUCAUUCCCUUUAAAGCAGAGUUUUUAUAUGUGAGGUAAUCUUGCUGGGAGUGAAGGCAGUGCGUAUGAUCGCUUGAUAUGAGACACACAUACUGUAUUUAAAGGUCAACUUUAUACGUAAGCUUCAUUCCAUUUAUAACAGGUAAGCUUCAUAUUGUUUUAAAUGAUAUAUUUAGGGGACUCUACUUUAACAAUGACUUAGGAUAAUGAUUUGUUAAAGUGUUAUAAAGCAUAUACAUGUGUACAUUAAGUUUAUUAAACUAAUGGCGCUUUUCCAUUGCAUAGUACCCCACGGUUUCGUUUAGUUUGGGUCGGGUCAGCUUACUUUUGGGAGCUUUUCCAUUGGGUGCAAUAUGUAGUACCCGAUACUUUUUUUUGUACCACCUCGGUUGGGGUUCCAAGCGACCCGAGCUGAUACCAAACGUGACGCGAAAACACUGUAGGUCACUGAUUGGUCUGAGAGAAGCGUCAUUGCUAUAAUGUAAAUAUUAGCUUUAGCUUACUGCUAGCUUGCGCUGUCUCGAGCAAAUAUGUUGUUAUCUGUGUUCUGUUAUACGUUUCCAAACACCCUUUUAGCGAUGAAAAACAUCCACAAGUUGAGAAUCAGGGACACCAUAACAGUUUUUUCCAGACUUGCAGUUUGUGGCGGCACAUUCGCGACGUGCACGCCCGCAUUAUAUAUGCUUAAAUGCAACUUGAAUGAGGCUCAGCGGGGCUCCGUCGACUGACGCCACGAGCCGGGUGUUUGAACAGAAACUGUCAUGUGAGACAGAGGUAGUUAUAAACGCAAUGUGCAAACAUCUAUUUGGGGUGGCCAAUUUUAAUUUUGUGGCAGACUGAGAAAUAAAUGAAUGUAUGGGAAUGUACAACGAUGUAUGAUGUCACAGCUGUAGGCAGCGCAAACAUAACGACACGCCUAUAAUCCCUCCCACUGCGAAGUGAUACUAAACUCAAUGGAAAAGCUAACCACGCCAAAGUGAGGUGAGCUGACCCGACCCAAACUAAACUAAACCGUGGAGUACUAUGCAAUGGAAAAGCGCCAUAAUUAUCAGAAGUAUGUGGUACAACAUGUGUUUAGUUUUUUUAUUGAUAUUUCAGAGUUUUCAUAUGUGAGGUAAUCUUACUGGGAGUGAAGGCAGUGCAUAUGACCACUUGAUAUGAAAGACACAUCCUUUUUUAAAGGUGAUGUAUGCAUGUUACUUUCAAUGCUGGCAUUAAAAUAAUAGUUAUUUACUGUUUAAACAUUUUGGAGAUUGUGUGUGUGAUCUUGUGGCACAUUUACUUGUGAUAACAGAAUUAUUUUUGUCUAUCUGUUGUAGGUGGAUCAUGAGUGAAGCUCUGCAGGUCUGCCAUUAGCUUGAUAACAGUGGUUUAUGUGAAUUGAGUGAAUUCAAUUUAUAAAUAAAUCUUUCACCAAGCAUUCACCUAUUUACGGACAAAACAGAUCCAAAUCUUGUUCAGCCUGAUGCUCAACCUUGUAUGAUGAUGACCACAGCCAGGUGAUGGAGAUCUGUGUUAUUCACAGCCUGCGUCUCAAGAUCAACAUGACAAUAGCAGACCAUUUCUUAACUUACUCUUAUCUGACUAAAUGUUCAGCAUCAUUGCAACAAAACAAAGAACAUUGGAUGGAGUAUUGGAUGAUCCCGUAAAGAAAAUAAUAUGGACUUUUUUGGUGAGAUUCUACAAAGAUUGACACAAUCCUAUUGACUUUUAUUUUUACAGUUAAUAAUGCAUUAUAAACAUCCCAUUCAUUUGUAUUCUAUGUCAUCGAUCUGUUUGUGCUAAAAUGUAUACAUCUGAAUGUAAUGUCAAUAAUAUGUUAAUAUUCAGGAUUUAUUAUCAUUUGCAUGUUUUGAUGUUGCAUAUCAUGAUUUUAUUGAUUUCAUGUAAUUGUUGUCUAUUUAAAAUUAUUUUAAUUGCCAAAUUUUAUUGUUACUUUAUUUAAUAUUGAAGCUGUUAUUUAACAUCCAUAUCUUAUUUGAGUAGUGAUUUGUUAUAUUUGCAUAAUAAUUCAUAUAUUUAUUCUGAUUGUGAUUUUAAUGCAAAUAUUUAUUAUUGUAUGACACCUCAUGUAAUGAAAAAGUGAAAAUAAAAGUAUGUUCUGAUGUCUUGCUGUUCUGUUUUUAAA